AGCCUAAAGACAUAUAUUUUAGGUUUGACCUGCCCAGUGUAUAUAAUAAAUGGCCGCGGUACUUUGACCGUGCUAAGGUAGCGCAAUCAAUUGGUUUUUAAUUGGAGCCAGGUAUGAAUGGAGUUACGGAGUCUUUCUGUCUCCUGACUAGUUUAUCGAAGUUACUAUGUAGGUGAAAAAGCCUAUGAGAGGAAAAAAGACGAGAAGACCCUUAGAGUUUUUCUAAUAUUGAAUGAAGUAUUCAAAGAAGUUUUGUUGGGGCAACAAAGGAACAUGAAAAUUUCCUUAAUAAAAUUUACCGAUUAUUUUAAAUUUGAAUAAACUACCUUAGGGAUAACAGCAUAAUUUUAUAAAUAAGUUUGUGACCUCGAUGUUGGACUGGGAAACUGAAAGACUAGCCGUCUUUUAGGUGAGUUCUGUUCGAACUAUUAUUCCU
rnacentral:rRNA from 1 species